GUAGGACAGCUCUGCAGGCUGAUCUGCAGCAAGCACUGUCACAGCCUUCAGCUUGGUGACAUGGGCCAGCGUGUAUCUUUUCCUCUGUGUUUGUAGAGCUCCUAGCACAGUGCAGUAUGCUUUCAGAAACCACCACAGCACAAGAAAUGGGUAAAAUAGUAUUUUGCUUCCUUCUUCUCCUGGAGAGUUUGGUCUGUUUUUAUAAGGUGAGGCACAUAGAUACAUUUUCAGCUCUCUCUGUAACACUGCUGCUAGAUUAGUACAUAGCAAAAGGUUCAUAACUUGGUCUUUUUCCCCCAUUUCAGGUAUUUGUUUACAGACAUCAAAUCUGUCACUGAAGAUUAGCAGGCUGCAACCAAAUGACUUUAUGAUUACCAUUGGAGCUCAGUUGUUCUGGGGGUAAAAGGCUUCUGGAAGGGAGGAAGAUCUGUUGAGGCAAACAAGCUUUCCCCGUACUUUUGUUUUCUCCUGGACUGUGGAGCGGAGCCAGGAGGUGAUCCUGGAGCGUGGAGGAGGCAGAGCGGCGUGGGAAGUGCUAACAUGGGUGAGAAGUGGCCCUGAGUCACUGACACAUUGUUUGAGCUGUAACAAUUUUGUGAACCGGACUGAGAGCUUUCUGCCUGAAUCAGAAAAUAAAUGAGGAUCCUGGAGCACCACAGUUUCGUACCAGUGGCCAAGGAGACAAAAUCGUGAGACUCUGAAAUUCAGAGCUGCUCUUGCAUUUGGUAACUCCCCUUCGUGGUGAGGAAUUGAUGCCUGUGCCAAGGCAGCCACAAAUUAUAAACAAUCCCAGAGUGGCAAUUUUUUUUCCUCCCAUCCCUUUUCGAUCUCUCUUACAUGGGUCUCAAGUUUGCCCUGUCUGUUGUCUGCAUGGAAGCUGCAGUGACACCGUGCCACCUGCGGCGGGUGUCCCAUGUGCUGCCACCAGCUCCCCGGGGCUGCCACGGGGCCGGGACAUGAUGGGUUGGGCAGCGAGGGCUCCGAGCUGCUUGUCACAUUUAGACAUCACUGCAGCCCCAAAUCCUACGUGAGACAGCGAUAGUGGCGCUCAGAACUUGGUCCAACGGCGGUAAAAAGGAAUAAUACUAAUUUCUGCAAUUAUUUGCCACUCACAGGCAAAUUAGUCAUCCCCUUGCCAUACCUGAGAAAGUAGAUGCCACAAAAUACCUUCAGUGCCAUCUAGCUACUAAGUUACAUGAAGAGACAUGUUUGCAAGGAGCCUUGGUUGCCACAAGGCCCCUCAGUGGCACACGUCCUAUGGCACCAGCUGAUGCCCUGCCCUCGGGGGUCUGAUCAGGACGAUGACGAAAGCCACAAAGAUAAUUUGCAGCUGGAGGCUCUGCUUUAAGUGGAUGUUUAUCUGAAGUGCUGCAAAGUGAGUUCCUCAGAAGGAAGGCUAAAUAAAUUUAAAAAAAAAAUACAAAAAUAAAAAAUGCACCCACCCCAAACCCACAGGAGUUGUCCUUCGGCUCCUGAAGGCACUUCGGUACUGCGUGCCUCUCCGAGUGUUGCCAGGAAGGAACAGUAUGCACAUUCUGCCCCGGGGGAAGUUAUGCUGAACCACCUUGGUGUGUGAGGAAGACGGCGGUGGCCGAGCACCCAUGGGAAAGGUGCUGGAGUGGAGGCAGGAGGGUACGGAUCUGGCCUCACACGUGGCAAGGUGAGGCUGGCAGGGGCAUAGGAAGGAGUUGGUGUUUUGCUUCCUCCUCCCUCGGCCCAGGCCAUGGAGUGCUGCUGCCAGUCUGGUGUGUCCUGGACCAUGCAAAAAGCAAUGAAAAGCAAAGCAGAAUUAAUUUCAAAAAGAGGUUGUUUUUAUGACAUGCUGUGUUUUGCUGAGAUUGUUCUGCUCACAGUGUAAUUUGUCCAGAUAAAACCCGACUAGAAAUGACCUUAUGGUCUGGGUAUGACGGCGUUGGAGGAUGCACACACACCCAUGCUCACACCAUGUCCAACAGUGGCGCUGGGCCAAGGCUCAGCUCAGCACAUGGGGUGGGUGAGCACCCCCCCACACCCCACGGGCCUGAUCCUGCUCUGGGUGCACACCUGUAAGGAGAAAAAUGAUUCCCUCUGAAGGCAGCAGGGCCAGCGGAGAGGAUCUCCUGGCCGUCACAGUGGGGAGCCCCUCCUGGCAAGACCAGACUAUCCCCACAGCAAAGCGGUGGCAAUUUCGGGGAGCUGGGCCUAGCUUGGACCAGCCCACAGCCUGUCAGCAGUGUCAAAGUCAUUGGAAAAGGCUUAGGAGUGUAUUAAUAAUUGGAAUCGGUGCUGAAGCGCGCUAGGCCUGGUCCUGGGCCUUGCUGGCAUCCUCCCAUCAGGGAAAGUGGAUUGUAAAGGGAGCAUCCGUGUGGCACCCACAAGGCACUUUGUACUCAGAGCUUUUACCAUGAAAGGUAUUUCUACCAUGGUGAGGCCUGACAGCUCCAGCAGCAGAGGGCCACAGCCCUCAGGUGUCCCUCUGAGCUGGAAUUACCACACAGACACUUACAUAAAAACCAGCCUGGCGCUCAGGCCUGCCACCACACCUCCAUCCCAGCUGAUUUACACCAGCUGAGAAGAGACCCGACCUCCAGGGUCAGAUGUGGCCUGUGGCUGUACAUGGGCAGCUGAGGUGAUUUAAAAGCUGUCGAUGUCAGUCACAGCUGUCUCAGCGAACACCAGAUUUACCUUACAAUCUGCUCCAGGAGCACAAACGGCUCCUAGCCAGGAGAAAUCAAGCCAAAACCCUUUUCCACAGCCCAAUGCUCAGGUUGUGAAGCAUGGGAAGAGCAGCAGCUGAAGCUGAUUGCAGCUCUACGUGGAUAAUUUCUACCAGUAUUAGGUUAUUGUGUUGGAAUGGUGAUGCAUAAUGUAUGGCCGGGCAUCUCUGCAAUAAACAUUUUACGUUUAAUUUAGAAAUCUCUGAGACAUUAGAAAAGUCCUCUCGUUAUGUGGUGCAGACCUGUGGG